CGUAAUCGUUUAUCCAAAUGGCAGCGUAUAUUCUAGUCUACGUCGUCGAGUGCAGUUGGUCGAGGACAUCGCAAGAGCUGGACUUGACUGAGAGUUGAGUAGAAUAGGUGAAGAGUUUAAGUUGAUUGAAUGGCUGAUUUGGAUAGACAAUGGAUCAUUCUAGUGGCUUUUACUAGUUGUCAAAUUUUUCAUCAGGACAGACAACAAUGCGAGGCAUAUUUGCGGAAUAAUGAAGCAACCCGGCACACGGCGCGACAAAAUCUUGACUGACAGGAAACUUGGAUCAAAACACAACUGGAGUAAACUCCGGUUCGACGGAAAUUCAUCCGAACAAUUAUCUUCGGAAUGAAAUGGCACCAAUUAAACCAGUUUCCCCCGUUCUUCCGAGCUUGCAAAAACGACGUCGGUACUAAUUAGCAAAGUCCACGCUCCAAGUGAAUUUCAUACCAGGAUCUACAAGUCUCGGAUACUCCGCCAACUAUUCUGGGCUGUCUUCUACCUCAUAAACGAUCCAAAGUACUUUCAACAAUACCACUCGGCAAUUUCUUCCUGCGACAGAAUACUUUUUUUCCCUCUUGGACACUGGACACGCAUCCAGAUUUUUGGUCAAAGCUAAUUUUAUCGCGUACCACUAUUUUGGAAAUAAAGCAAGGAAAAUUUUA